AGUGAACGCUGGCGGUAGGCCUAACACAUGCAAGUCGAACGGCAGCACAGUAAGAGCUUGCUCUUACGGGUGGCGAGUGGCGUACGGGUGAGGAAUACAUCGGAAUCUACUUUUUCGUGGGGGAUAACGUAGGGAAACUUACGCUAAUACCGCAUACGACCUACGGGUGAAAGCAGGGGAUCUUCGGACCUUGCGCGAUUGAAUGAGCCGAUGUCGGAUUAGCUAGUUGGCGGGGUAAAGGCCCACCAAGGCGACGAUCCGUAGCUGGUCUGAGAGGAUGAUCAGCCACACUGGAACUGAGACACGGUCCAGACUCCUACGGGAGGCAGCAGUGGGGAAUAUUGGACAAUGGGCGCAAGCCUGAUCCAGCUAUACCGCGUGGGUGAAGAAGGCCUUCGGGUUGUAAAGCCCUUUUGUUGGGAAAGAAAAGCAGCAGGUUAAUACCCCGCUGUUCUGACGGUACCCAAAGAAUAAGCACCGGCUAACUUCGUG
rnacentral:rRNA from 1 species